rnacentral:rRNA from 1 species
AACUUGAAUUUGGGUUUUUAACUUAGGUUUGGGUGGCGGACGGGUGAGUAACGCGUAAAGAACUUGCCUCACAGGUAGGGACAACAUUUGGAAACGAAUGCUAAUACCUAAUAUUAUGAUAAUAGGGCAUCCUAUAAUUAUGAAAGCUAUAAGCGCUGUGAGAGAGCUUUGCGUCCCAUUAGCUAGUUGGAGAGGUAACGGCUCACCAAGGCGAUGAUGGGUAGCCGGCCUGAGAGGGUGAUCGGCCACAAGGGGACUGAGACACGGCC